rnacentral:rRNA from 1 species
CCUACGGGAGGCUGCAGUGGGGAAUUUUGGACAAUGGGGGCAACCCUGAUCCAGCCAUUCCGCGUGAGUGAAGAAGGCCUUCGGGUUGUAAAGCUCUUUCAGCAGGAACGAAACGGUCGGCUUUAAUAAAGUCGGCUAAUGACGGUACCUGCAGAAGAAGCACCGGCUAACUACGUGCCAGCAGCCGCGGUAAUACGUAGGGUGCGAGCGUUAAUCGGAAUUACUGGGCGUAAAGCGUGCGCAGGCGGCGACAUAAGACAGAUGUGAAAUCCCCGGGCUCAACCUGGGAACUGCGUUUGUGACUGUGUUGCUAGAGUGUAGCAGAGGGGGGUGGAAUUCCACGUGUAGCAGUGAAAUGCGUAGAGAUGUGGAGGAACACCGAUGGCGAAGGCAGCCCCCUGGGUUAACACUGACGCUCAUGCACGAAAGCGUGGGGAGCAAACAGGAUUAGAUACCCCUGUAGUC